rnacentral:rRNA from 1 species
CGCUGGCGGCGUGCCUAAUACAUGCAAGUCGAACGGUCUUUCUAUGGAAGCUUGCUUCCACUGAGAAGAUAGUGGCGAACGGGUGAGUAACACGUGGGUAACCUGCCCAUAAGAGGGGGAUAACAUCCGGAAACGGGUGCUAAUACCGCAUAGUUUUCUUGAUCGCAUGAUCGGGAAAGGAAAGACGGCCUUUGUGCUGUCGCUUAUGGACGGACCCGCGGCGUAUUAGUUAGUUGGUGAGGUAACGGCUCACCAAGACGAUGAUACGUAGCCGACCUGAGAGGGUGAUCGGCCACAUUGGGACUGAGACACGGCCCAAACUCCUACGGGAGGCAGCAGUAGGGAAUCUUCCGCAAUGGACGAAAGUCUGACGGAGCAACGCCGCGUGAGUGAAGAAAAGGUUUUCGGAUCGUAAAACUCUGUUGUCAGAGAAGAACAAGUUGGAGAGUAACUGCUCCAGCCUUGACGGUAUCUGACCAGAAAGCCACGGCUAACUACGUGCCAGCCGCCGC